AUGCUUGCCUCAGCAGCACAUACACUAAAAUUAGAGUGAUACAAAGAAGAUUAUGGCUCCUGUGCAAGGAUAACACACACAUUUGUGAAGUGUUCCAUAUUUUU